rnacentral:rRNA from 1 species
UACGGGGGGAGCAAGCGUUGUUCGGAUUUACUGGGCGUAAAGGGCGCGUAGGCGGCCACCGCAAGUCAAUUGUGAAAUCUCCGGGCUUAACUCGGAAAGGUCAACUGAUACUGCGGGGCUAGAGUGCGGAAGGGGCAACUGGAAUUCUCGGUGUAGCGGUGAAAUGCGUAGAUAUCGAGAGGAACACCAGUGGCGAAGGCGGCUUCCUGGCCUGUUCUUGACGCUGAGGCGCGAAAGCUAGGGUAGCAAACGGG